GAAAUGCGAUAAGUAAUGUGAAUUGCAGAAUUCAGUGAAUCAUCGAAUCUUUGAACGCACAUUGCGCCCGCCAGUAUUCUGGCGGGCAUACCUGUUCGAGCGUCAUUACAACCCUCAGGCCCCCGGGCCUGGCGUUGGGGAUCGGCGGAAGCCCCCUGCGGGCACAACGCCGUCCCCCAAAUACAGUGGCGGUCCCGCCGCAGCUUCCAUUGCGUAGUAGCUAACACCUCGCAACUGGAGAGCGGCGCGGCCACGCCGUAAAACACCCAACUUCUGAAUGUUGACCUCGAAUCAGGUAGGAAUACCCGCUGAACUUAAGC
rnacentral:misc_RNA from 1 species